ACAUAAAUGAAUCAAAACUUUCAACAACGGAUCUCUUGGUUCUGGCAUCGAUGAAGAACGCAGCGAAAUGCGAUAAGUAAUGUGAAUUGCAGAAUUCAGUGAAUCAUCGAAUCUUUGAACGCACAUUGCGCCCUCUGGUAUUCCGGAGGGCAUGCCUGUUCGAGCGUCAUUUCAACCCUCAAGCCUGGCUUGGUGAUGGGGCACUGCUUCUUACCCAAGAAGCAGGCCCUGAAAUUCAGUGGCGAGCUCGCCAGGACCCCGAGCGCAGUAGUUAAACCCUCGCUCUGGAAGGCCCUGGCGGUGCCCUGCCGUUAAACCCCCAACUUCUGAAAAUUUGACCUCGGAUCAGGUAGGAAUACCCGCUGAACUUAAGCAUAUCAAUAAGCGGAGGAAAAGAAACCAACAGGGAUUGCCCUAGUAACGGCGAGUGAAGCGGCAACAGCUCAAAUUUGAAAUCUGGCCUCGGCCCGAGUUGUAAUUUGCAGAGGAUGCUUCUGGCGCGGUGCCUUCCGAGUUCCCUGGAACGGGACGCCACAGAGGGUGAGAGCCCCGUACGGUCGGACACCAAGCCUGUGUGAAGCUCCUUCGACGAGUCGAGUAGUUUGGGAAUGCUGCUCUAAAUGGGAGGUAAAUCUCUUCUAAAGCUAAAUACCGGCCAGAGACCGAUAGCGCACAAGUAGAGUGAUCGAAAGAUGAAAAGCACCUUGAAAAGGGGGUUAAAUAGUACGUGAAAUUGUUGAAAGGGAAGCACUUAUGACCAGACUUGGGCCGGGCGGCUCAUCAGGGGUUCUCCCCUGUGCACUCCGCCCGGCACAGGCCAGCAUCGGUUCUCGUGGGGGGAUAAGACCGUCAGGAACGUAGCACCCUCCGGGGUGUGUUAUAGCCUGGCGGACGAUACCCCCGUGGGGACCGAGGUCCGCGCUCCGCAAGGAUG
rnacentral:rRNA from 1 species